GCCUCUGUGGCGCAGCGGUAGUGCGCUUGUCUUUGACAGACACCGGAGGUCCCGGGUUCGAAUCCCGGCCUGGGCA
rnacentral:tRNA from 1 species